rnacentral:rRNA from 1 species
ACUAGCAUGAAUGGCUAAAUGAAGACUACACUGUCUCUUAUGGAAGACCAAUGAAACUGAUCUUUCAGUACAAAAGCUGAAAUACCCCCAUAAGACGAGAAGACCCUGUGGAGCUUUUAAACUAAACUCAUUAUUACAUGAUUACUUAGUUUUUAGUUGGGGCGACUUCGGAGUACAAACAACCCUCCGAUAUAUAACAACAAAAAUAAGACUAACAAGUCAAAACUUUAAUGACCCAGUAGCUCUAAUUUACUAGACUAUCUGAUUAAUGAACUAAGUUACCCCAGGGAUAACAGCGCCAUCCUCUUCUAGAGUCCCUAUCAACAAGAGGGUUUACGACCUCGAUGUUGGAUCAGGACACCCAAAUGGUGCAGCCGCUAUUAAAG